rnacentral:rRNA from 1 species
UACGGAGGGGGCUAGCGUUGUUCGGAAUUACUGGGCGUAAAGCGCACGUAGGCGGCUUUGUAAGUUAGAGGUGAAAGCCCAGGGCUCAACCCUGGAAUUGCCUUUAAGACUGCAUCGCUUGAACAUCGGAGAGGUAAGUGGAAUUCCGAGUGUAGAGGUGAAAUUCGUAGAUAUUCGGAGGAACACCAGUGGCGAAGGCGGCUCACUGGUCCAUUACUGACGCUGAGGUGCGAAAGCGUGGGGAGCAAACAGG